rnacentral:lncRNA from 1 species
CUGAGCAGGAAGCAAAUAGUCUCACAGUACUCAGAUGGACCUGGAGACAUUUAUGAGCUAGACUGUAUGAUGUGGUUGCCUGGAAUAGCAGGAGGCUGGACUGUACAUCCUAGGAAGCCAGCUCCCAUCCAGUGUCUAUAAGUUUUUUCAGCUGUUGCUUGUGUGCGUGUCUCUGAGUGAGCAGGCAGUCCCUCCACUGCUGUGUGAUGCGGAUGCGGCGAAGGCAGCAAAUCCUCCGGCUGUGCGUGCCCUCCCUGGACUGCUGCUCCAUCCCCGCCUGUCGUGCUCGCGCGUGUGCAUGGCUGGGAGCGCUGCCUAGGUGCGGCCGGGAAUGAGCCAGCUGCGGGGCAGGGAACGCUACAGCUCCGAGGGGUGACACCAGUGGGGGACACCCCCCGCACAAACACAUCUGCAGGGCUGCAAGUUGCUCGAGGACCGGGGUCUUUUGUGCCUCCACUUCGUCUCUGUCAUGCCCCGUAUGGAAGCUGGGAGCAGUCACCCCUCCAGAAGCAGAAUAUGUCUGGGGCUAAUGUUUAGGAUCCAGAAGGAUGGUAUGCCACUGUGUGGGCUGAGUUUAGAAGGCGAAGUCGUUCGCAAUGAAUCCAUGGCAGCUUCGAUCGAGCGGUGUGCUGGAGCACCUACUCACAGGCCACUCCUUCAUGUGACUGAACAGAGACCUUUCCCAGCAAUCGCCAAGGAGAGCAGAGCCCUGGAUUUACCUCCCGCGCAGCCGGGCACCCCCAGCGCAGGCACUGCGAGAUUCCAGUGACAGAUGGAUCUCUCUCAUGCACACUUGCUCUUUCCUUCUCUGUAUUUUUGUUUUCGACAUGUUUGAUCCGAAGCUCUGAAGCUUCUCAGAGGGAACCCAGGAAAGAAGGAAGAGAAGGAGUAGAAACCAAGGGAGCGUGAGCGGCACGGGAGGCAGCCCUGCCUUGUUCUUCCAAAUCACACUGUGGAGGGGCGGGGGAAGACUAGAGGGGGAGGACUUGGGUUUGUUUUGGGGUGGGU